rnacentral:rRNA from 1 species
UCAGACGAUGCGUCAUGCAUAUCAAUAAGCGGAGGAAAAGAAACUAACAAGGAUUCCCCUAGUAACGGCGAGUGAAGCGGGAAGAGCUCAAAUUUGAAAUCUUAAAGGGUUUCCCUUUACGAAUUGUAGUUUAAAGAAGUGUUUUCUGUUGAGGUUUUGGUAAAAGUUCUUUGGAAUAGGACAUCAUAGAGGGUGAGAGUCCCGUAUUUGACCUUUACUUUCAACUUAGUGAUACACUUUCAAAGAGUCGGAUUGUUUGGGAAUGCAGUCCAAAAUGGGUGGUAAAUUUCAUCUAAAGCUAAAUAUUGGCGAGAGACCGAUAGCGAACAAGUACCGUGAGGGAAGGAUGAAAAGAACUUUGAAAAGAGAGUUAAGCAGUACGUGAAAUUGUCAAAAGGGAAGCGUUUGACACCAGUGUUGUUUUUCUGAAAAUCAAUUAAAGAACUGUUUAUGCUAAGCUGUUUAGACUUUAUCAGCUAUCUGUUUAGUUUUAGAGCUUUUCUUUAAUAGCACUUUUCAGUUAACAAGUCAACAUCAAUUUCUUUUGCUGUAAAAAAGCUUGAGGAAGGUGGCUUGAGAUUCGUCUUAAGUGUUUAUAGCCUCUUGCCUAUGCAGUCGGAGAGAUUGAGGUCUGCAGCGUAGAUCCUUCGGGGCUAAAUGCAUUUGUGCUAAGUUAUAGCAUUUUAUAGACAACUUGUUGACUAUGAUUUGUCUUGUAGCUUACUCGCUUAUGUUAUUUUACCUACGCUUAGGAUGUUGACACACGCGCGUGCUCG